rnacentral:rRNA from 1 species
UACAGAGGGGGCCAGCGUUAUUCGGAAUUAUUGGGCGUAAAGGGCGCGUAGGCGGCUUUGCGUGUCUUUUCGUGAAAUCCCUCGGCUCAACUGAGGACGUGCGGAAGAAACUGCAGGGCUGGAGUCCGGGAGAGGAGGGUGGAAUUCCCAGUGUAGCGGUGAAAUGCGUAGAUAUUGGGGAGGAACACCGGUGGCGAAGGCGGCCCUCUGGACCGGUACUGACGCUGAUGCGCGAAAAGCGUGGGGGAGCGAACAGG